GAUGAACGCUAGCGAUAGGCUUAACACAUGCAAGUCGAGGGGCAGCAUGGUCUUAGCUUGCUAAGGCUGAUGGCGACCGGCGCACGGGUGCGUAACGCGUAUGCAACUUGCCUCACAGAGGGGGAUAACCCGUCGAAAGACGGACUAAUACCGCGUACACUCUAAGUUGGGCAUCCAAUGUAGAGGAAAUGAAAUUCGCUGUGAGAUAGGCAUGCGUCCCAUUAGCUAGUUGGUGAGGUAACGGCUCACCAAGGCGACGAUGGGUAGGGGAACUGAGAGGUUGAACCCCCACACUGGUACUGAGACACGGACCAGACUCCUACGGGAGGCAGCAGUGAGGAAUAUUGGUCAAUGGGCGAGAGCCUGAACCAGCCAAGUCGCGUGAAGGAUGACUGUCUUAUGGAUUGUAAACUUCUUUUAUACGGGAAUAACAAGAGUCACGUGUGGCUCCCUGCAUGUACCGUAUGAAUAAGCAUCGGCUAACUCCGUG
rnacentral:rRNA from 1 species